rnacentral:rRNA from 1 species
UACGAGUGCCCCGAGCGUUAUCCGGAAUCAUUGGGCGUAAAGGGCGUGUAGGUGGUUGUGUUAGUCGAUUGUUAAAACCUGGGGCUUAACCCCAGAUGUGCGAUCGAAACGGCACGACUAGAGGAUGCGAGGGAUGUAUGGAACUCAUGGAGUAGGGGUGAAAUCCGUUGAUAUCAUGGGGAACACCAAAAGCGAAGGCAGUACAUUGGCGCACUCCUGACACUGAAACACGAAAGCGUGGGUAGCGAAUGGG